rnacentral:rRNA from 1 species
UGAAUACGAGACGCUAAGGCGUCGAAGUAGUGUAUGUCAUACUUCCAAGAAAAGCUUGCACUGUCAUAGAUAAAAAACGCCUGUACCAUAACCGACACAGGUGGGUAGGUAGAGUAUACUAAGGGGCGCGAGAUAACUCUCUCUAAGGAACUCGGCAAAAUAACUCCGUAACUUCGGGAGAAGGAGUGCCUUAUUAUUAAGGCUGCAAUAACAAGAUCCAAGCAACUGUUUAUCAAAAACACAGGUCUCCGCUAAGUCGUAAGACGAUGUAUGGGGGCUGACGCCUGCCCAGUGCCGGAAGGUUAAAGAAGUUGGUUAGCAUUUGCGAAGCUGAUAACUGAAGCCCUGGUGAACGGCGGCCGUAACUAUAACGGUCCUAAGGUAGCGAAAUUCCUUGUCGGGUAAGUUCCGACCCGCACGAAAGGCGUAAUGAUUUGGAUACUGUCUCGGAGAGGGGCUCGGUGAAAUAGACUUGUCUGUGAAGAUGCGGACUACCUGCACCAGGACAGAAAGACCCUAUGAAGCUUUACUGUAACUUGAAAUUGAAAUUGGACUUUAUUCGCGCAGCAUAGGUGGGAGGCGUUGAUUAUAAUCUUGUGGGAUUAUUGGAGCCAUCAGUGAGAUACCACUCUUGUAAUGUUAGAUUUCUAACUUUGAAUCAUUAUCUGGUCAAAGAACAGUUUCAGGCGGGCAGUUUGACUGGGGCGGUCGCCUCCUAAACGGUAACGGAGGCGUACAAAGGUUUCCUCUGAACGGUUAGAAAUCGUAUCUAGAGUGUAAAGGCAUAAGGAAGCUUGACUGUGAGACCUACAAGUCGAGCAGGGACGAAAGUCGGUCUUAGUGAUCUGACUGUACUGAGUGGAAAGGCCGUCACUCAACGGAUAAAAGUUACUCUAGGAUAACAGGCUGAUCUCCCCCAAGAGUUCACAUCGACGGGGAGGUUUGGCACCUCGAUGUCGGCUCAUCGCAUCCUGGGGCGGUAGUACGUCCCAAGGGUUGGGCUGUUCGCCCAUGAAAGCGGUACGCGAGCUGGGUUCAGAACGUCGUGAGACAGUUCGGUCCAUAUCCGGUGUAGGCGUUAGAAUAUUGAGAGGAGCCUUCUUUAGUACGAGAGGACCGAGAAGGACAUACCUCUGGUGUACCAGUUAUCGUGCCAACGGUAAACGCUGGGUAGCUAUGUAUGGAGUGGAUAACCGCUGAAAGCAUCUAAGUGGGAAGCCCACCUCAAGAUAAGUAUUCUCAUCA